CCAAAAAAAGCCUCUAAGCUUCAGUCUAACGAGACCGUACCGCAAACCGACACAGGUGGGCGAGAUGAGUAUUCUAAGGCGCUUGAGAGAACUCGGGAGAAGGAACUCGGCAAAUUGGUACCGUAACUUCGGGAUAAGGUACGCCCUUGUAGUUUGACUGGCCUGCGCCAGAAGGACGAAGGGGUUGCAAUAAAUUGGUGGCUGCGACUGUUUAAUAAAAACACAGCACUCUGCAAACACGAAAGUGGACGUAUAGGGUGUGACUCCUGCCCGGUGCUGGAAGAUUAAAUGAUGGGGUGCAAGCUCUUGAUUGAAGUCCCAGUAAACGGCGGCCGAAACUAUAACGGUCCUAAGGUAGCGAAAUUCCUUGUCGGGUAAGUUCCGACCUGCACGAAUGGAGUAACGAUGGCCACACUGUCUCCUCCCGAGACUCAGCGAAGUUGAAAUGUUUGUGAUGAUGCAAUCUACCCGCGGCUAGACGGAAAGACCCCAUGAACCUUUACUGUAGCUUUGCAUUGGACUUUGAACCAAUCUGUGUAGGAUAGGUGGGAGGCUUUGAAGCGGGGACGCCAGUUCUCGUGGAGCCAUCCUUGAAAUACCACCCUGGUUUGUUUGAGGUUCUAACCUUGGUCCGUUAUCCGGAUCGGGGACAGUGCAUGGUAGGCAGUUUGACUGGGGCGGUCUCCUCCCAAAGUGUAACGGAGGAGUUCGAAGGUACGCUAAUUACGGUCGGACAUCGUGAUGAUAGUGCAAUGGCAUAAGCGUGCUUAACUGCGAGACUGACAAGUCGAGCAGGUACGAAAGUAGGACAUAGUGAUCCGGUGGUUCUGUAUGGAAGGGCCAUCGCUCAACGGAUAAAAGGUACUCUGGGGAUAACAGGCUGAUUCCUCCCAAGAGUUCAUAUCGACGGGGGAGUUUGGCACCUCGAUGUCGGCUCAUCACAUCCUGGGGCUGUAGGCGGUCCCAAGGGUAUGGCUGUUCGCCAUUUAAAGUGGUACGUGAGCUGGGUUUAAAACGUCGUGAGACAGUUUGGUCCCUAUCUGCCGUGGGCGUUGGAAAUUUGAAGGGGGCUGCUCCUAGUACGAGAGGACCGGAGUGGACGAACCUCUGGUGUACCGGUUGUCACGCCAGUGGCAUUGCCGGGUAGCUAAGUUCGGAAGAGAUAACCGCUGAAAGCAUCUAAGCGGGAAACUUGCCUUGAGAUGAGAUUUCCCAGAGCCUUGAGCUCUUUAAAGGGUCGUUCGAGACCAGGACGUUGAUAGGCUGGGUGUGGAAGUGAAAA
rnacentral:rRNA from 1 species